rnacentral:rRNA from 1 species
UACGUAGGGCGCGAGCGUUGUCCGGAAUUAUUGGGCGUAAAGAGCUCGUAGGCGGCUUGUCGCGUCGGAUGUGAAAGCCCGGGGCUUAACCCCGGGUCUGCAUUCGAUACGGGCAGGCUAGAGUGCGGUAGGGGAGAUUGGAAUUCCUGGUGUAGCGGUGGAAUGCGCAGAUAUCAGGAGGAACACCAAUGGCGAAGGCAGAUCUCUGGGCCGUAACUGACGCUGAGGAGCGAAAGCGUGGGGAGCAAACAGG